rnacentral:rRNA from 1 species
ACGAACGCUGGCGGCGUGCUUAACACAUGCAAGUCGAACGGAAAGGCCCUGCUUUUGUGGGGUGCUCGAGUGGCGAACGGGUGAGUAACACGUGAGUAACCUGCCCUUGACUUUGGGAUAACUUCAGGAAACUGGGGCUAAUACCGGAUCGGAGCUCCUGCUGCAUGGUGGGGGUUGGAAAGUUUCGGCGGUUGGGGAUGGACUCGCGGCUUAUCAGCUUGUUGGUGGGGUAGUGGCUUACCAAGGCUUUGACGGGUAGCCGGCCUGAGAGGGUGACCGGCCACAUUGGGACUGAGAUACGGCCCAGACUCCUACGGGAGGCAGCAGUGGGGAAUAUUGCACAAUGGGCGGAAGCCUGAUGCAGCAACGCCGCGUGCGGGAUGACGGCCUUCGGGUUGUAAACCGCUUUCGCCUGUGACGAAGCGUGAGUGACGGUAAUGGGUAAAGAAGCACCGGCUAACUACGUG